GAUGAACGCUAGCUACAGGCUUAACACAUGCAAGUCGAGGGACCGGCGCACGGGUGAGUAACACGUAUCCAACCUGCCCUUUACUCGGGGAUAGCCUUUCGAAAGAAAGAUUAAUACCCGAUGUAAAGGAUGGGGAUGCGUUCCAUUAGGUUGUUGGUGAGGUAACGGCUCACCAAGCCUUCGAUGGAUAGGGGUUCUGAGAGGAAGGUCCCCUACAUUUGAACUAAGUCACGGUCCAAGCUCCUACAGGAGGCAGCAGUGAGGAAUAUUGGGAAAUUGGCGUUAGUCUGAACCAGCCAGGUAGCGUGAAGGAUGAAGGCUUAUGGGUCGUAAACUUCUUAUAUAUAAGAAUAUGUAUUAUAUGAAUAAGGAUCGGCUAACUCCGUGCCAGCCGCCGCGGUAAUAC
rnacentral:rRNA from 1 species